CACGGCCCCUGCUGCGCCACCGCCCCGGACUGUUCCCGCGCGGCGAUGCCCCCUCCCCGGCGCCCCCGGGUGGGGCCGGUCGAGCCGAGUGCGCUAUCCCUUUAAGUCCGGGCGAGAUGAGAGCUGUCAGCGGCAGCCGAGGCUAGCGCGGGACGUCGCCACCCUAGCGCCAGGCCAGAGCUAGCAGCCGCGGAGCCGCAGAGAGCGGAGGGGGCGGCGGGGCCGGGCGCGGCGGGUCCCCUCGCCACCCACUGCGCGCUCGAACCCUGGGCCCCACGAGCGGCGGGCGGCACCCGCUGUAAUGCGGAGAAUGUGAGAGGCAGCACAGGGCGGUGGGGAGGAGGGGGUGCGGGAGAGGGCGGCGGCGAGACAGACGGAGAGCAGCGGGGAGAACGAGGACCGGGCUGGGCCGGUGGGAGAAGGCAGGGAGGCGCCGGAGAGGCCGGGCUGGAAGAGGGGGAGAGAAGGACGGCGGCGCAGUGGAGGGGGCCGGCGCUUAGUGCGGGGAGCCCGAGUCGGCACCUGGGCCCGGGUUCGGGCUGGGAGCGCGGCCGCGGCCCGGCUAGGCAGGGUGCGGGAGCCGGGCCGCCCGCCGGGUCCCCACGGGGAGCAGCGGGGCACCUGAGGCCGGCGGGUCCAGGAGGGGCCCAGGGUGGCGCUCCGAAAGCUCCGGCCGGCGUGGCAGGGGAUCUUUGUGAGCGCCCCAGGAGGGCGAGUCGGGAGUGCGGAGCCGGGUGUGUGCGCCCGGGUGUGCGCGUGUGUGAGCGCUGGGCAGUGGGGGCGCGCGGUAGGGAUUCUGCGGGCAUCGCGGCGUGGCGAGGAGGCAGAAGCGGGGCGCGCAGGGGAGCCGGGACCCUCCCGUGCACACGCACAAGCACACGCUGCGCGUUCUCACGCGCACAUACACGCCCUCCCUGCCGCGCUCGCCGCCGCGGCCACCAUCUCGGAGCCGAGCCCUGCGGAGCGGGAACCGAAGCCGGAGCGGGGACCGGAGGCAGCCGAGCAGGGGGAUGCCGACCCGGAGCGGAGCCACGCGCGGACUGCGCGCCCAAGACGGGAUCUUAUGACCAUGACCUGGCUACCUUGAGUCUGCGGGGCUACACAGCCUUCAGCCUGCAUCUCCAGGGCUCCGACUCUAUCCACCUCCUAGACCAGCUCCCAAGUCUACUCCUGACCACAGUCUGGGCCAAGGGGACUCCUCAAGCUUUGGGACCCAGCGGGACACAGCAGCAGUCAGGGUAG
rnacentral:lncRNA from 10 species